rnacentral:rRNA from 1 species
UAGAGCGGCGUACGGGUGAGUAACACGUGGAUCAUCUACCUCGUAGUGGGGAAUAACUUGGGGAAACCGAAGCUAAGACCGCAUACGCCUGAAAAGGGAAAGCUCCGCAAGGGGCGCUAUGAGAGGAGUCCGCGGCCGAUUAGCUAGUUGGUGAGGUAAUGGCUCACCAAGGCGGUGAUCGGUAGCCGGCCUGAGAGGGCACACGGCCACACUGGCACUGAAACACGGGCCAG